AGACUGAGAUACGGAAGCGAAAACAAAAGAGCUAGAAGGAGAUGCGUAUCCGUAGCUUCGCUCUGCUCAGAGAUCAUUCAUCAGAGCGGGAGUUUUGCUUCACCGCUAUUCUGGGAGUGGAGAUUACACGGCUGAGGGGGCGGUCGCAAACGGUGCGAACAUCCGCUGAUGCUCAAGAAGGCAACACGAUGCGUAAAGAAAAGGGGAAGGGGGUGUAAACUUUUGCACAGGAUGAUCGGCGGGAACUGUUAUUAUUUUGUUUAAAGAUAAAUUUUUACCCCCAUUUCGUACUGUUCUUCAGAAGCUAUUUCCAUUUUUCCCCCAAUAGACAAAAUAAUAAUUUACAUUUAUGGUCAUCCUGUUCAAAAGUUUACACCCCCCUGGUGCUUAAUGUAUCGUGUUAUCUUCUCGAGCAUCGGUGAACGUUCGCACCUUGUGUAAUAGUCGUGCAUGAGACGAGUCCCUCAGUCGUCCUCGGCGUGAAAAGACGGAUCUCGACAUCAUAUAGUCGCUGUUUAAAGGAAAGGAGUCAGAUAUGUAGAAGAUGCUGGAAAAGUGAAGAAUGUGCCGGACCUGGAGGAUUUUUCUGAAGAACAGUGGGCAGUUUAACCGCUCAGGACGAACAAGGGACUCGUGAACAACUCUCACAAAACGUAAACACACCCAGCCCACAGCAGGGGAUGGUCAGCAGUCUCAGGAAGGCGAGCAGGGUUCGGAGGGGCAGUAAGGUGAACACGUAGAGGAACGCGUCGAGGCACAGGAAGCAGCCGAACAUCAUGAGCUGCGUGACAGAGAAGAACAGAAAUCUCACUUUGAUAGUUACAACACAGUCAAGUGGACAGAAUUAUUUGUAAAUAUCCAUCUAAUCAGCUUUCGGUAAGCGGAACGCCGAGUACGUAUGCGCCAAUAAUCACUUACAGGAAAUUGUGACAAUCAAAUCACAUACUUAUUAGAGAUCGACCGAUAUUUUCCCUCAAUAUUUAAGCAUUUUUCCAUAAUCGGUUACCGGCUUUUUAGUAUGGGAUCCAUCGAUAACCGGCGCCAUCUUGUGACCGUUUUGAGAAUUGCGUCUCAAACAGAAGUAAAACAAUACAUAAAUAAAUAACUAUCGGUUAUCGGGCACGUAAACAUGCAAAUAAUCGGAAUCCGUUAUAUAAAAAAAAAAUCUAUAUUGGUUGAUCUCUAAUACUUAUGCACUAUUCUACGCCAUUUUGUAGUAUAAAUAGUGCGAGUAGUGGGUUCACAAUGAAAAUUCCAACAAAUAGUAGUGCACUGCAAGUACCCGGAUGAUGCACCGAAAAAAAAAAACAAGUGUGAAUGUUGGACACUUCGCGCGCUCUUCGGUUGCUUACGUAGCAGAGACGUUAGAGGCUACCAGGGCCGCGAACACUGGAUGAGAAAACGUUUUCAAGAUGGCCGACGACAAGCCGGUGAAUAAGACUAGCGUUAGGUUUCCGAGCACACUGGAGCUUUCACUAGCUAAUACAUUUAUUUAUAACAUCUGCACCACAAACCUCACCUCUCAGCACAGCAUACACACUCCCUCCAUUCACCUGGGGAAUAACACAGGCACUUUCAAUUUGUGCGUAUGUGAUUGUAUCGUGGUGGUGGUGGAGUCGGGGGGGUUGGGGGCGGGGCAAUAAAACCAAAACAAGCUCCUUAGACUCGUACACAGUUUUAAAUACAGCUCAGAAAUGAUUAUGAAAAUCUAAGGAUUAUAUUAAUACUGAGGUUCGAGCUGGUUAUUAGUGAGUUUGUGGCUCUACUGCUCCAUCUAGUGGUAGUAAAUGCUCAUUACUUUCGCAUCACGAUGGAUUCGAAAGUGUUUUUUUUUUUGUUGCCUUUUUUUUUUUAAAACAGUUGUGAUGAAUAGUGUUGUUUUUAAUUACCUGACCCCUUAGAAUAAGAGUCUGAUAUGGACUGUAGAAACACACGACACUUAUGUUUACACAAACCUACAUUUCAAUGAAACAGUCGUUAUAUCCUUCGUCCUAUAACGUUUCCCCUACAGACUCCAAAACUCUUUCGCGUGUCCUGCGAUAGAGAUGAUAAUGCUCUGUACAGCAAGUUAUGAAGAUCAUUUACUUAUAACGUCACAUCCUGACGUGUCCUAAUCCAUUGGCGGAGGACUUGGAAAACUGGAGACACCUUCCAUGAAUGUUAAAUAAACGUCUCCGUACGGUAAACGUAUCAAACGUGUCCACGAUUUACACGUGGGUUCUUCAUCCGUUUAAUGUUGAGUUUGGAUUAUAUGGAGCGUCCGUACGCAUUUCCGUGGAGGAGCCGUUACUAUAGAAACAUUACCGUACACAUUAAUAGAAACCUUUGAUAUGAAUUACUGGUGAAAGUACAUUAAAGCUGCUGUUAAUCAAGAUUAAUCAACACCUUCGGACCAAUCAGAUUUGAGAAUUCAACAGCACUUUGAUAUAAAGUUAUUUCAUCUGCGUAAUUUGCCAAACUUGAAUGGAAAACGAAUGAAUAUAUUAGACGUUCAGAUGCUUUAUCUUAUCUUCUGUGCACUGUGCUCUUGAUUACACGUUGCAGUAAACACACACACACACAGAAAUGUCAUCGGGUAACGUAGUGUGUGUGUUUUUCUGUUCACUUUUAGCUCUCUAGAUUUAGUUUGAGUUUACUGAGUCAGCCCCAAAACUAUUGGCACCCCUAUUAAAGAUCUUUGUGGUUAAAUCUAACUCUGAAAUAUUAGAAAUACUUCAUCUUACUUUUAAUUCAAAUACUUUUAAUCGUUCCAAGUAAAUAAAAUAAAAAU